GGAGAGGUGGCUGAGCGGCCUAAGGCGAUGGUCUUGAAAACCAUUGUUCCGAAAGGAACCGCGGGUUCGAAUCCCGCCCUCUCCUCCA
rnacentral:tRNA from 1 species